rnacentral:misc_RNA from 1 species
CUAAAACCCUCUUUGCCCCUCCGAAGCUCUACUACUGCAGCCACCGCCUCCUGAAGCUUGCCCUCUGUCUUGAAGCACAGAAACUAGCCAGAGGGAUUCAAUAGGCUGUGGUUUUCACUAAUAAGAACUUCUAAAAUGGAACCAGAAGUCGAAGAAGGGAGAAGGGAACCGGAAGUCACUAGAGGUUUAGAAAAGAAAAUCGUGAAAAUUGUUCGCAAGAUACUGGAGAAGGAAAACUUGUACGAGUUGACGGAGAAAAAAGUCCGAGAAAAGGCAUCGAAGGAUCUUGGGAUGAACCUCUCCGAUGAGCCCCUCAAGUCUAUCGUUAGCCGCGCCGUCGAAGAUUUCCUUGAAAGGCUCAGAACUCGAGCCCAAAAGUCAGUUGACUAAGCUUAAUUUGAGGAAAACAAAAGAUCUUCCAGUGGAUUUGAGAUGUAAUUUUAUCAGAAGCAUAGAUUUGCUUGACUUGGAUUGUCUCAAUACCAGGUGAAGAGCCUGUUAUGUUAGUAGUAAUCUGCUGCAAUUAUAUGCUGUGUUGAUACACUGAAAUUGACCUUGGAUUUAUUUUUGAUUAAAAUUACUCAAAAAGGCAACAGCUUUGUGAUGAGACACUGAAAUUGACCUUGGAUUUAUUUUUGAUUAAAAUUACUCAAAAAGGCAACAGCUUUGUGAUGAG